UACGUAGGGGGCAAGCGUUGUUCGGAAUUACUGGGCGUAAAGGGCGCGUAGGCGGCACAGCAAGUCGGGAGUGAAAGCCCGGGGCUCAACCCCGGAAUGGCUUUCGAAACUGCUGAGCUAGAGUACAGAAGGGGCAACCGGAAUUCCCAGUGUAGCGGUGAAAUGCGUAGAUAUUGGGAAGAACGCCUGAGGCGAAGGCGGGUUGCUGGGCUGAUACUGACGCUGAGGCGCGAAAGCUAGGGGAGCAAACGGG
rnacentral:rRNA from 1 species